CUUUGACUGUCGGUUUUAUAUUUUACUCCUUGUUGUCUCCCACUCCCCUCUCCUUCAUCGCACAGCCCCUCUGUAGCUCAUAGAAAGCUGCUUGACAGGUAGUGAAUUCUCAGUACAAGUUUUCAUGAAUGACUCUCCAGUGUUUGCCUGAGAUUACUUAUUCCUUAAUAUGUAUACAAUUUUUUUUUUUUUUUGAGAUGGAGUCUCGCUCUCUCACACAGGUUGGAGUGUGGUGGUGUAAUCUUGGCUCACUGCAAGCUCCACCUCCUGGGCUCAUGCCAUUCUCCUGCCUCAGCCUCCCGAGUAGCUGGGACUACAGGUGCCCGCCACCAUGCCUGGCUAAUUUUUUGUAUUUUUAGUAGAGACGGGGUUUCACCUUGUUAGCCAGGAUGGUCUUGAUCUCCUGACCUCGUGAUCCACCCACCUCGGCCUCCCAAAGUGCUGGGAUUACAGGCAUGAGCCACCGCACCUGGCCUCCUUAACAUGUAUACUUUCAUCUUUACUACCUAGAUCCAGAGGGAAAUGUAUUCACUUCUAUCUUCUUUUUGACUUUUCAGUGUCUUCAGUUUUUUCUCUCUAUUAUCUGUCUUUCCAUGUAGUAUUACCACAGAGUGAGGGCUUUGCAAGUAUCAGCUUAAUGAAUGAGUCUUCCAUUGUUUCUCCCCAUGAGUCUUCCACAUUGAUAAACCUGAUCUCUCAACCAAAGCCAUGGUUAAUCUCAACUCUACACCAUUACCUAUGCUGCUGUUCUCUAUCUGUCCCCUCAGGUUCUACAGUGGGGAUGGAAACUAACAAAAGAUAAUAUACCCAGAGUAGUGAUUUAUACCAGCAACAAGAAAGUAUUGCAUAGACGAGGGGCUAGUCAACCAAAUGCUACCCUAAAGUGGGCAAAUUGAUAGAGCCUGUCUAUGAGGAACGGGUAUUGCCAACAGUCACCCAGCCAAAAUAAUCUACUCUGCCUGCCCAAGUGUGAAGCCUAGUGUGAAACCUACUCCAGAGGUGAAACCCCACCAAGAGAUGAAAACCACUUUGGGAAAUACCUUAUGUCUGAUAUUUUCUUCUUCAUUUUUUGAUAGGACUUUUUUUUUCCUGCUCAAAAGUGACUAUCUGGUAGUACAUUCCCAGAGGAUCCUGGCCAGGUAACAGAGAAGUCUGAAAGGCUACCUUGAGAUAAGGUACUAACAGCCUGUGGUAGCUUUAAUAGAAUAUUCUGGUUUAAAUAACAACCUUGAACAUCCAACUUAUUCAGAUUCAACAAACAUCUAUCGAGUAUUUACCCUCUGCAGAUAAGACAAGGCCAUGUAUUAGAUGUUUCCUCAUGUGUUAUAUCAUUUAGUGAUUACAACAAACAUCAAAGGUAGCAUCCCUACUUUACAAAGUAAAACACAGAUACUCAGAAAGGGUAAUUUAUUCACUGAAAGUCAAAGUGAGAUGAAUUCAAACAUAGGUCCUCUAACACCCAGGGCACAGACUGAUGAUGUUCAUGACCAGCUGAGUUUAUGAAAUCUCUUACGCUGUCUGUCCCUAAUCUGCCUAUACAUUAGCAAGGUGUAGAGAAGCACCAUGCUUCUGUCCAACAUAACAGGGUUAGAAGGUCACUUUUCUGCAUGUUUCUACAUUAUUUUCAAAACUGCCAUUCAUCUGCGUUUUCAAAUAAAUAUCAACAAAAUUACUUUUGUUAGCCUGUAGUUACUUUGCUAUCCUACAGCCUUAGUCACAUGUAAGCAGAUUACUAGAGCAGCAUGUGUUUCAAAUCUCUUCCUGGGAAGGAGUCAACAGGUGGAAAAACAAAUGCUAAGCAAACCAUCUAGAAGACUCCUUCUCAAGGCUUUAAAUGCAAAACAAUGUGGAUAGGACACAUGGAUAUAUCGUGCCAUCUUCUGCUUUAGAAAAUGAUUACUUUGCACCUGUGACCCAUUUACUAAACCUCAAAACUCUUGGUUUAAGAUAUGUUGUUUUGUAAUUAAGCUUUUGAAAUGCACAUUUGUUGGCUUUUGUCCUGUGCUUGUUAUUAUCUGAACUAUGACCAAUUAUAAAUACUAAGCUAUUUAGAGUCUUAAAAACAAAUGGAUAUCUAUACUUCGUGAUUUACACAAAUAUUAACUUUAUUAGCUACAAAAAAUUAUAAAUUGGACUUUAUAUAAAAUUAAAACCUGUUCUUCAAAAAAGAAAAUAAAACACAAGCCACAAACAGGAGAAAAUAUUUUCAAUGCACAUAUCUGGAAAAGAACUUGUAACCAGAGUAUAGUAAAAGCUCUUACAACUCAGCAGUAAGAAGAUAAAACAAAAAUAGGCAAAAUGUGAAUAAAGAGUUCAUGAAAGAAGAGCUAAAUGGCAAAUAAUCACAUGAAAAGAUCUUCAACAUCAUUAAUCAUCAGAGAAAUGAAAAUAAAUACCAUGAAAUAUUGUAUACCCAUUAUAAUUGCUAAAAGUAAAAGGACUGAAAAUUCCAACUGUUGGAGAAUUUGGAACAACUGGCACUCUUGCAAAAUAGUACAGCAACUUUGGAAAACAGUUUGGCAAAUUUCUAAAUGUUAAAUAUAAACUUUCCAAACCACUCAGCAAUUCUGUUCCUAGAUAUCUACUCACAAGACAAAAAGUGCAUGUAAAAAUAAAUAAAUAAAUAACUUAUAGACAAAUAUUUAUAGCAACUUUAUUUGUAAAAAGCUUGGAAAACAACACAAAUCACCAACUACAAAUAAAUAAACAAAUACAUUGGGGUAUUUCCAUGUAAUGAAAUUCUUAGCAGUAGAAAGAAACAAACUACUGAUACAUAGAACAACAUGGAUAAACAUCAAAUACAUUAUUCUACGCAAAAUAGUCCAUAUAUAAGAGAUUAUAUACAUAUGAUUGCAUUUCUAAGAAUUUAUAGAACUGGCAAAACUAAUCUAUGAUGAUAGAAAUCAGAUCAGUGAUUGGCUGAAAUCAGAUCAGUGGUUGCCUGAGAGCUGUGAAGAGGGGACAGGAGAUCAUAAAGGGACACAAAAUAAUUUUCUGAAGAGAUGAAAAUAGUCUACAUCUUAAAUGGGAAGUUUGUUAUAUGUGUGUGUAUAUAUAUAUGUGUGUGUGUGUGUGUGUGUGUGUGUGUGUGUCUGUGUGUGUAUGUAUGUGUGUGUGUGUGUGUGUGUGUGUGUGUCAAAAGUUCUUAACUUAUAAGACUGCAAUACAAUAGCUUUUGAGCAACUAAUGGGUCAAAGAAGAAAUCAAAAGGAAAAUUAGAAAACAUCUUGAGACAAACCGAAAACACAAUAUACCAAACUAAUUAGAUGCAGCAAAAGCAUUUCUAAUAAAUACCUACAUUAAAAAAGAAAAAAUAUCUCUAACUUUACACCUCAACAAACUAGAAGAAGAACAAACUAAGCCCAAAGUUAACAGAAGGAGUAAAUAAUAAAUAUUACAGCAGAAAUUAAUGAAAUAUAUAAUAGAAAAGCAACAGAAAAAUAAUCAUAACCAAGAGUUGGAUUUUUUUAAGUUGACAAACCUUUAGCUAGACUAAGAAAAAAGAGACAGAAUUCAAAUAAAAUCAGAAGUAAAAGAGGAAACAUUACAACUGAUGCCACAGGAAUAAAAAGGAUCAUAAGGGACUAUUAUGAAUGCCAACAAACUGGAUAAUCUUGAAGAAAUGGAUAAAUUCCUAGACAUAUAACCUACCAAACGUGCAUCACGAAGAAGUAUAAAGUCUGAACAGGCCAUAACUAAUAAGGAGAUUGAAUCGGCAUCCUAGUCCAUUUUGUGUUGCUACAACAGAAUACCUGAAACUGGGUAAUUUAUAAAGAAAAGAAAUUUAUUUGGCUCACAAUUCUGGAGGCUGGGAAGUCCAAGAGCAUGCUGUUGGCAUCUUGGAGGGCCUUAGUGCUGCAUUAUCCCAUGGUGGAACUCAGAAGGGUAAGAGGGUGAAAGUAAAUAGAAAGAAGCCAAACUCAUCCCUUUAUCAGGAACCAACUUCUAUGAUAAAUAACCCAUUCCUGUGAUAAAGCUGAUGCCUUUAUCCCAUUCAUGAAGGCAGAGCCUUCAUGCCCUAAUCACCCCUUAAAGGCCCUACCUCUCAACAUUGUUGCAUUGGGGAUUAAGUUUCUAACACAUGAACUUUGGGGUACACACUCAAGCCAUAGCAGUCAGUAAUCAAAAACCUCCCAACAAAGAAAAUUCCAGGUCCAGAUGGCUUCACUGGUGAAUUCUACCAAACAUUUAAAGAAGAAUUGAUGCCAAUUUUUCUCAAACUCUUUUCAAAAAUUGAAAAGGAAGGAACACUUCCAAACUCAUUUUUAUGAACCCAGCAAAACCUCGAUACCAAAGCUAAACAAAGACACUAUACGAAAACUAUAGGCUAAUAGUCCUGAUGAACAUACAUACAAAAAUCUUCAACAAAAUGCCAGCAAACUAAUUCAACAGCAUAUUAAAAGUGUCACACACCAUGUCCAAGUGGGAUUUAUCCCUGGGAUGCAAGGAUGGAUAAAUAUAUGAAAAUUAAUUAAUGCGAUACAUCACAUUAACAGAAUAAAGGAUAAAAUCACAUGACUAUCUCAAUAGAUGCAGAAGAAUUCGAUAAAAUUCAACACAUUUUCAUGAUAAAAACUCUCAACAAACUAGGAAUAGGAAGUAAGUACCUCAACAUAAUAAAUGUUACAUACAGAAAGCUCAUAGCUAACAUCAUAUUCAGUGGUGAAAACUGAAAGCUUUUCCACUAAGAUCAGAAACAAGGCAUGGAUACCCAGUCCUUUCUAUUCAACAGAGUACUGGAAGUCCUAGCCAGAGCAACCAGGCAAGAAAAAGAAACAAAAGGUAACCAAAUUAGAAAGGAAUAAGUAAAAUUGUCCCUAUUUGCAGAUGACAUGAUUUUAUAUAGAAAAGCCCAAAGACUCCACUAAAAAACUGUUACAACUAAUAAAUUGAGUAAAGUUGUAAAAUACAAAAUUAACAUACAAAAAUCAAUUACAUUUCUAUACACUAAUAAUGAACUGUCUGAGAAAUUAGCAAUCUCAUUUACAAUAACAUAAAAAAUAUUUUUAGGAAUGAAAUUAACUAGGGAAGUAUAUCCUGAAAACUACAAAACAUUGAUAAAAGAAAUUAAAGAAGACCAAACAAAUGGAAAGACAUCCUACAUUCAUGGAUUUGAAGACUUAAUAUUGUUAAAAUGUCCCCAAACGAUCUAUAGAUCAAUGCAAUUCCUGUCAAAAUCCCAAUGGCAUUUUUUAUAGAAAUAGAAAAAAAUACCCAAUUCCACAAUUCACAUGGAGCCACAAAAGAACCUGAACAGUCAAUGCAAUCUUGAAAACUAACAAAGGUGGAGGCAUCACAGUUUCUGAUUUCAAAAUAUAACACAAAGUUAUAGUAAUCAAAACAGUGUGGUGGUGGGAUAAAGACAGAAAUAUAGACGAGUUACCCAGAAGUAAACCCACACAUAUAUGGUCAACUGAUCUUUAACAAUGAUGUCAACAAUACACAAUGGGGAAAGGAUAGUCUCUUCAACAAGUGGUGUUGAGAAAACUGGAUAUCCACAUGCAAAAUAAUAAAAUUGGACCUUUAUUUUAUACCAUACACAAAAAUCAACUCAAAAUGGAUUAAAGCCUUAAAGGUAAGACCUGGAACUAUAAAACCCCUAGAGGAAAACAUAGGGAGAAAUCUUCAUGACGUUGGCCUUGACAAUGAUUUUGUGGAUAUGACACCAAAAAAAGCAUAGGUAACAAAGCAAAAUAGACAAGUGGGACUGCCUCAAACUAAAAAGCUUCUACCAGAAAAGAAACAAUCAACAGAGUGAAAAGACAUCCUAUAAAAUGGGGAAAUAUUUGCAAACCAUAUUUCUGAUAAAGGGUUAAUUUCCAAAAUAUGUAAGAAGACUUAUAUAUAAGAAACUCCUAUAACACAACAGUAAAAAAACUAGUAACCUGCUUAAAUAAUUGGGCUAAAGACUUGAAUACACAUUUUUCCAAAGUGGACAUACAAAUGGCCAACAAGUUUAUGAAAAGAUGCCCAGUCACUAGUCAUCAGGGAAAUGCAAAUAUAAACCACCAUGAGAUAUCACCUCACACUUGUUAGGAUGGCUAUUAUAAAAAUACACACACACACACACACACACAAAGACAACACAUGUUGAUAAAAUGUAAAGAAAUUUGAAUCCUUAUACAGUGUUGGAGGGGAAUGCAAAAUGAUGCUGCCACUAUGACAAACAGCAUGGAGAUUUUUCAAAAUAUUAAAAAUAGAACUAGCAUAGGAUUCAGCAAACCCACUUCUGGGUAUUUGUCCAAAAGAACUGAAGUCAGGAUGUCAAAGAGAUAUUACCAUUCCCAUAUUCAUUGCAGCACUAUUUAUAAUCGCCAAGCUGUGGAAAUAAAAACUAAGUGUUCACUGACAGAUUAAUGGAUUUUUAACAAUGUCAUAUAGACAUGUAAUAGAAUACUAUUUAGUUAUACAAAAGAAGGAAAGCCUGCAACAUGGAACAACAUGUAUAAAUGUUGAGGACAUUAUAGUAAGUGAAAUGAGCCAGUCAGAAAAGGACAAAUACUGCAUAAUUGCACUUAUAUGAAGCGUCUAAAAUAGGCAAACUCAUAGAAACAGAGGGUGAAUAGUUAUUGUCAGGGGCGGGGGGAUGGGGAAAAUGGAAAGUUGCUAAUCAAUAGGCAAAAUAUUUUUAUUUUUAUUUUUAUUUUUUUGAGAUGGAGUCUCACUCUGUCACCCAGAUUGGAGUCCAGUGGCACGAUCUUAGCUCACUGCAACCUCCACCUUCUGGGUUCAAGUGAUUCUCCUGCCUUAGCCUCCUGAGUAGCUGGGACUACAGGUGUGCACCACCACACCCAGCUAAUAUUUUUUGUAUUUUUAAUAGAGACGGGGUUUCACCGUGUUGGUCAGACUGGUCUCGAACUCCAGAUCUCAAAUGAUCCUCCCGCCUCGGGCUCCCAAAGUGCUGGGAUUACAGGAGUGAGCCACUGAGCCUGGCCACAAUAUUUCAAUUAUACAGGAUACACAACUUUGUGUCUAUAGAUAGCAUUACUGUAUUUUACAUUUAAAAGUCUAUUAAGAGGGCAGAUUUCAUGCCAAGUGUUCUCAUCACAAUAAAAAAAAAUGAAAACAACACCAAUGAUAAAAAGGCGGUAGAUAAAUAAAUACCCCAGUUUCCUCAUCUAUCAAUCAGCUGGGGUAAUUCUGUAGUAUGGUCUACACUGUCUCCCAGUGUUCUGAAAUGGGAUUAAGCCUUUUUCCCCUAGGAUAAUCACAAUAAUUCACAAUUUAUUGGUUUCCUUCACGGUCCCAUUUCGCUUCCCACUCCUUCUCUGGUACUCUUGACUACAAUAAAUCAUUUUCCCUGUAAAGAACGUAGUCUUUUUAUUCCCUCAAAAAAUAUUUGGGAUGCUUUUGAUACUGAUUUAAUUAAUUAAUCAAUUAUAUUACUUCAUUAUGAAGUUGCUCUUUGGAAUAAUUAUCAUAAAAACAUAACAUGGGUUCUGUCAGUCUACACAUUUUAGGAUGAUUUUACCAGCAUGAAUGAUAAUAAAGGUUAAGAUAAUAAAAAAGUCAUCAAAUUGUAUACUUACAUAUGUAAACACUAUUGUAUAUAACAUAAUUCAGUAAAUUUGAUUUUUAUAUGGAUAGACACAAUAUUAAAUGUGUUGACAUAUGUAUAUGAACUUAAUCAGAGAUUAACUUAAGAAUUAUGUUCAAGGAUGUUUCUCACUGCUAUUUUUUUAUUAUUAUACUUUAAGUUUUCAGAUACAUGUGCAGAUCCUGCUGGUUUGUUUCAUAGAUAUACAUGUGGCACAGUGGUUUGCUGCACCCAUCAACCCAUCAUCUAGGUUUUAAGCCCUGCAUGCAUUAGGUAUUUCUCCUACUGCUAUCCCUUCCUUUGCCCCCCACCCCGAUAGGCCCUGGUGUGUGAUGUUCCCCUCCCUGUGUCCAUGUGUUCUUAUUGUUCAACUCCCACUUAGGAGUGAGAACAUGCAGUGUUUGGUUUUCUGUUCCUGUGUUAGUUUGAUGAGAAUGAUGGUUUCCAGCUUCAUCCGUGUCCCUGCAAAAGACAUGUUAUCCUUUUUUAUGGCCGCAUAGUAUUCCAUGGUGUAUAUAUGCCACAUUUUCUUUGUCCAGUCUAUCAUCGAUGGGCAUUUGGGUUGGUUCCAAGUCUUUGCUAUUGUAAACAGCGCUGCAAUAAACAUACGUGUGCACAUGUCUUUAUAGUAGAAUGAUUUAUAAUGCUUUGGGUAUAUACCCAGUAAUGGGAUUGCUAGGUCAAAUGGUAAUUCCAGCUCUAGUCCUUCAGGAAUCACCACACUGUCUUCCACAAUGGUUGAACUAAUUUAUACUCCCAUCAACAGUGUAAAAGUGUUACUGUUUCUUCACAUGCUCACCAGCAUCUGUUGUUUCCUGACUUUUUAAUGAUUACCAUUCUAACUGGUGUGAGAUGGUAUCUCAUUGUAGUUUUGAUUGCAUUUCUCUAAUGACCAGUGAUGAUGAGCCUUUUUUCAGGUGUUUGUUGGCUGCAUAAAUGUCCUCUUUUGAGAAGUGUCUGUUAAUAUCCUUUGCCCACUUUUUAAUGGGGUUGUUUGUUUGUUCGGGUAAAUUUGUUUAAGUUCCUUGUAGAUUCUGGAUAUUAGACCUUUGUCAGAUUGGUAGAUUGUAAAAAUUUUCUCCCAUUCUGUAGGUUGCCUGUUCACUCUGAUGAUAGUUUAUUUUGCUGUGCUGAAGCUCUUUAGUUUAAUUAGAUCCCAUUUGUCAAUUUUGGCUUUUGUUGCAACUUGCUUUUGGUGUUUUAGUCAUGAAGUCUUUCCCCAUGCCUAUUUCUUGAAUGGCAUUGCCUAGGUUUUCUUCUAGGGUUUUUAUGGUUUUAGGUCUUAUGUUUAAGUCUUUAAUCCAUCUUGAGUUAACUUUUGUAUAAGGUGUAAUGAAGGGGUCCAGUUUCAGUUUUCUGUAUAUGGCUAGCCAGUUUUCCCAACACCUUUUAUUAAACAGGAAAUCCUUUCCCCAUUUCUUGUUUUUGUCAGGUUUGUCAAAGAUCAGAUGGUUGUAGAUGUGCGGUGUUAUUUCUGAGGCUUCUGUUCUGUUCCAUUGGUAUAUAUAUCUGUUUUGGUAAGAGUACCAUGCAGUUUUGGUUACUGUAGCCUUUCAGUAUAGUUUGAAGUCAGGAAAUGUGAUGCCUCCAGCUUUGUUCUUUUUGCCUAGGAUUGUCUUGCUAUGCGGACUUUUUUUGUUGUUCCAUAUGAAAUUUAAAGUAGUUUUUUCUAAUUGUAUGAAGAAAGUCAACAGUAGCUUGAUGAAAAUGGCAUUGAAUCUACAAAUUACUUUGGGCAGUAUGGCUAUUUUCACGAUAUCGAUUCUUCCUAUUUGUUUGUGUCCUCUCUUAUUUUCUUGAGCAGUGGUUUGUAGUUCUCCUUGAAGAGGUCCUUCACAUCCCUUGUAAGUUGUAUUCCUAGGUGUUUUAUUCUCUUUGUAGCAAUUGCGAAUGGCAGUUCACUCAUGAUUUGGCUCUCUGUUUGUCCAUUAUUGGUGUAUAGGAAUGCUUGUGAUUUUUGCACAUUGACUUUGCUGAAGUUGCUUACCAGCUUAAAAAGUUUUGGGGCUGAGGCAAUGGGGUUUUCUAAAUAUACAGUCAUGUCAUCUACAAACAGAGACAAUUUGACUUCCUAUUUGAAUACGCUUUAUUUUUUGCUCUUGCCUGAUUGCCCUGGCCAGAAAUUCCAAUACUAUGUUGAAUAGGAGUGGUGAGAGAGGAUAUCCUUGUCUUGUGCCAGUUUUCAAAAGGAAUGCUUCCAGCUUUUGCCCACUCAGUAUGAUAUUGGCUGUGAAUUUGUCAUAAAUAGCUCUUAUUAUCUUGAGAUAUGUUCCAUCAAUACCUAGUUUAUUGAGCGUUUUUACCAUGAAGGGGUGUUGAAUUUUAUCAAAGGCCUUUUCUGCAUCUAUUGAGAUAAUCGGGUGUUUUUUGUCAUUGGUUCUGUUUAUGUGAUGGAUUACAUUUAUUGAUUUGCAUAUGCUGGACCAGCCUUGCAUCCCAUGGAUGAAGCUGACUUGAUUGUGGUGUAUAAGCUUUUUGAUGUGCUGCUGGAUUCAGUUUGCCAAUAUUUUAUGGAGGAUUUUUGCAUUGAUGUUCAUCAGGGACAUUGGCCUGAAAUUUUUGUUGUUGUUGUUGUGUCUCUGCCAGGUUUUGGUAUCAGGAUGAUGGCGGCCUCAUAAAAUAAGUUAGGGAGGAGUCCCUGUUUUUCUAUUGUUUGGAAUAGCUUCAGAAGGAAUGGUACCAGCUCCUCUUUGUACCUCUGGUAGAAUUUGGCCGUGAAUCUGUCUGAUCCUGGGCUUUUUUUUUUGUUGGUAGGCUAUUAAUUACUACGUCAAUUUCAGAACUUGUUAUUGGUCAAUUGAGGGAUUGGACUUAUUUCUGGCUUAACCUUGGGAGGGUGUAUGUGACCAGGAAUUUAUCCAUUUCUUCUAGAGUUUCUAGUUUAUUUUUGUACAGGUGUUUAUAGUAUUCUCUGAUGGUAGUUUGUAUUUCUGUGGCAUCGGUGAUGAUCUCCCCUUUGUCAUUUUUUAUUGUGUCUAUUUGAUUAUUCUCUCUUUUCUUCUUUAUUAGCCUGGCUAGUGGUCUAUCUAUUUUGUUAAUCUUUUAAAAAACCCAGCUUCUGGAUUCAUUGAUAUUUUGAAGGGUUUUUUUGGUGUCUCUAUCUCCUUCAGUUCUGCUCUGAUCUUAGAUAUUUCUUAUCUUCUGCUAGUUUUUGAAUUUGUUUGCUCUUGCUUUCCUAGUUCUUUUAAUUGUGAAGUUAGGGUGUCAAUUUUGGAUCUUUCCUACUUUCUUCUUUGGUCAUUCACAGCUAUAAAUUUUCCUCGAAACACUGCUUUAGCUGUGUCCCAGAGAUUCUGGUAUGUUGUGCCUUUGUUCUCAUUGGUUUCAAAGAACUUAUUUAUUUCUGCCUUAAUUUUGUUAUUUACCCAGUAGUCAUUCAGGAGCAGGUUGUUCAGUUUUCAUGUAGCUGCAUGGUUUUGAGUGUGUUUCUUAAUCCUGAGUUCUAAUUUGAUUGCACUGUGGUCUGAGAGACUGUUAUGCUUUCCAUUCUUUUGCAUUUGCUGAGGAGUGUUUUACUUCCAAUUAUGUGGUUGAUUUUAGAAUAAGUGUGAUGUGGUGCUGAGAAGAAUGUAUAUUCCGUUGAUUUGGGGUGGAGAGUUCUGUAGAUGUCUAUUAGGUCUGCUUGGUCCAGAGCCAAGUUCAAGUCCUGAAUAUCCUUGUUAAUUUUCUGUCUCAUCGAUCUGUCUAAUAUUGACAGUGGGGUGUUAAAGUCUCCCACUAUUAUUGUAUGGGAGUCUAAGUCUUUUUGUAGGUCUCUAAGAACUUGCUUUGUGAAGCUGGGUACUCCUGUAUUGGGUGCAUAUAUAUUUAGGAUAGUUAGCUCUUCUUAUUGUAUUGAUCCCUUUACCAUUAUGUAAUGCCCUUCUUUGUCUUUUUUGAUCUUUGUUGGUUUAAUGUCUGUUUUAUUAGAGACUAGGAUUGGAACCCCUGCUUUUUUUUUCACUUUCCAUUUGCUUGGUAAAUCUUCCUCCAUUCCUUUAUUUUGAGCCUAUGUAUGUCUUUGCACAUGAGAUAGGUCUCCUGAAUACAGCACAACAAUGGAUCUUGACUCUUUAUCCACAGUCUGUUUCUUUUAAUUGGGGCAUUUAGCCCAUUUACAUUUAAGGUUAAUAUUUUUAUUUGUGAAUUUGAUCCUGUCACCAUGAUGCUAGCUGGUUGUUUUGCCAGUAGUUGAUGUAGUUUCUUCAUAGUGUCAUUGGCCUUAUAUUUUGGUAUGUUUUUGCAGUGGCUGGUAUCAGUUUUUCCUUUUUAUAUUUAGUGCUUCCUUUGGGAGCUCUUGUAAAGCAGGCCUGGUAGUGACAAAAAUCCCUGAGCAUUUGCUUGUCUGGAAAGGAUUUUAUUUCUCCUUUGCUAAUGAAGCUUAGUUUGGCUGGAUAUGAAAUUCUGGGCUGAAAAUUCUUUUCUUUCAGAAUGUUGAAUAUUGGCCCCCACUCUCUUCUGGCUUGUAAGGUUUCUGCAGAGAGAUCCACUGUUAGUCUGAUGGGCUUCCCUUUCUAGGUAAUCUGACCUUUCUCUUUGGCUGCCUUUAACAUUUUUUCCUUCAUUUCCACCUUGGUGAAUCUGAUGAUUAUGUGUCUUGGGGUUGUUCUUCUUGAGGAGUAUCUUAGUGGUGUUCUCUGUAUUUCCUGAAUUUGGAUUUUGGCCUGCCUUGCUAGGUUGGAGAAGGUCUCCUAGAUAACAUCCUGAAGUGUGUUUUCCAACUUGGUUCCAUUCUCCCCAUCACUUUCAGGUACACCAAUAAAUCGUAGGUUUGGUCUUUUCACAUAGUCCUAUAUUUCUUGGAGGCUUUGUUCAUUCCUUUUCAUUCUUUUUUCUCUAAUCUUGUCUUCACACUUGAUUUCAUUAAGUUGAUCUUCAAUCUCUGAUAUCCUUUCUUCCACUUGAUUGAUUCAGCUAUUGAUACUUGUGUGUGCUUCACGAAGUUCUCAUGCUGUGUUUUUCAGCUCUGUCGGGUCAUUUAUGUUCUUCUGUAAAUGGGUUAUUCUAGUUAGCACUUUCUGUAACCUUUUAUCAAGGUUCUUAGCUUCCUUAGAACCUUGUUCCUUUAGCUUGGAGGAGUUUGUUAUUACCCACCUUCUGAAGCCUACUCCCGUCAAUUUGUCAAAGUCAUUCUCCAUCCAGUUUUGUUCCCUUGCUGGCAAGGAGCUGUGAUACUUUGAAGGAGAAGAGGCAUUCUGGUGUUUGAAAUUUUUAACAUUUUUGCACUGGUUUUUCCUCAUCUUCAUGGAUUUAUCUACCUUUGAUCUUUGAUGCUGAUGACCUUUGGAUGGGGUUUUUGUGUGGGCAUCCUUUUUGUUGAUGUUAAUGCUAUUGCUUUCUGUUUGUUAUUUUUCCUUCUAACAGUCAGGCCCCUCUUCUGCAGGUCUGCUGGAGUUUGCUGGAGGUCCACUCCAGACCCUGUUUGCCUGGGUAUCACCAGUGGAGCCUGCAGAACAGCAAGGAUUGCUGCCUGUUCCUUCCUCUGGAAGCUUCAUCCCAGAGGGGCACCCUCCAGAUGCAAGCUGGUGCUCUCCUGUAUGAGGUGUCUGUCGACCCUGCUGGGAGCUGUCUCUUAGUCAGGAGGCAUGGGGGUCAGGGACCCAUUUGAGGAGGCAGUCUGUCCCUUACCAGAGCUCAAGGGCUGUGCUGGGAGAUCUGCUGCUCUCUUCAGAGCUGGCAGGCAGGAAUGUUUAAGUCUGCUGAAGCUGUGCCUGCAGCUGCCCCUUCCCCCAGGUGCUCUGUCCCAGGAAGAUGGGAUUUUUACCUAUAAUCCCCUGACUGGGGCUGCUGCCUUUCUUUUAGAGAUGCCCCGCCAAGAGAGGAGGAAUCUAGAGAGGCAGUCUGGAUACAGCAGCUUUGCCACGCUGUGGUGGGCUCCGCCCAGUCCAAACUUCCUGGCGGCUUUGUUUGAGUAGGGGAAAACCAGCUACUCAAGCCUCAGUAAUGGUGGACAUCCCUCCCCCAACCAAGCUCGAGCGUCUCAAGCUGACUUCAGACUGCUGUGCUGGCAGCAACAAUUUCAAGCUGGUGGAUCUUAGCUUGCUGGGCUCCGUGGUGGUGGGACCUACUGAGCAAGACCACUUGGCUCCCUGGCUUCAGCCCUCUUUCCAGGGGAGUGAAUGGUUGUCUCACUGGGCUUCCAAGUACCACUGGGGUACAAAAAAAAACCUCCUGCAGCUAGCUUGAUGUCUGCCCAAAUGGCCACCCAGUUUUGUGCUUGAAACCUAGGGCCCUGGUGGCAAAGGCACUGGAGGGAAUCUCGUGGUCUGCAGGUUGGGAAGACCAUGGGAAAAGCGAAGUAUCCGGGCCAGAGUGCACACUUCCUCACGGCACAGUCCCUCAUGGCUUCCCUUAGCUAGGGGAGGGAGUUCCCUGACCCUCUGUGCUUCCCAGGUGAGGCGACGCCCCACCCUGCUUUGGCUUGCCCUCUGUGGGCUGCACCCACUGUCUAACCAGUCCCAGCAAGAUGAACUGGGUACCUCAGUUGUAAAUGCAGAAAUCACCCACCCUCUGCGUUGGUCUACCUGGGAGCUGCAGACCAGAGCUGUUCCUAUUUGGCCAUGUUGCCCCCUCCUCCUCACUGUUAUUUUUAAUAAUGAAAAAACAGAAAUUGGCUGGGUGGUGGCUCCUGCCUGUAAUCCCAACACUCUGGGAGGCUGAGGCCGGUGGAUUGCUUGAGGUCAGGAGUUUGAGACCAGACUGGGCAACAUAGUGAAACUCCAUCUCUACUGAAAAUACAAAAAUUUGCUGGGGGCAGUAGUGCACCUAUAGUCCUAGCUACUUGGGAGGCUGAGGUGCGAGAAUUGCUUGAGCCUGGGAGGUCAAGAUUUCAGUGAGCUGAGAUCAUGCCACUGUACUCCAUCCUGGGCAACAGAGUGAGACCCUGUCUCAAAAACAACAACAAAUAAUCCAGCCAUUACCUAAAUGCCAAGAAAUAAAAGACUGAUGUAUAAAAACAGGGGCCUUUGGUGUGAUGGAUGCAUUAGCAUUUACAACUGAGUUUCCUGCUCUAGCCUAACCUGCCCUGCAGACCCCUGUAAGGCCUCCCCAAGUAUUUCUGGACUUCCUCUAAGUUCUCCCACAGGAACUCAUAAGUCAGACUAUUAGAUAUAAUCACAUGUGGAAUUUGCCUUAUUCUUUCUCUUUCUCCCCCUCUCCCUCCUCAGCAUCCUCUACUCACAACACCUUCUGAAGGAGCCUCAGUCCUGCCAUGACUGGCAGAACCUAUCACGAGCAUCGCCGGCAUCCAUGCCAACAGCUCACCUGCAAGGCUUUCAACUCUGCUGACCUUCAGAGUGUCAGAGCAGUGCCGAAGCCCAGGACAUGGCUGUCAUCCCUUAUUCCUCCUAGCUCAAAUCACCCUCAAUAUCCUGAUAGGAACCAAAUACCAGGCCAUCCCGCCAUUUCAGUCUCUGUCCCAAGGACUCCUCAUUAAAUUCCAUCAUCAUCCUUCAGCUAACAACCAAAAGCCUUCCUGAAACACAGCCUCAUGCAAAUAGGUACUGAGAAAACUUCCUAGCCCCUAGUUCUGCAAACACUCACCUACGCAGUUUAGAAUCAGCUAGGUUACGUGCCUGUGCAUUUAUAUAUGCAGAUAAAUAAUACAGCAGCUAUACUACAAGUAGGUGUCUCUUCAGCCUGUUUACUUUAAUUUUUACAUAUUAGGCUCAUCUCUGAAUGCCCAAAAGAGGAUGUAACUGAUAUAUUCUCCUGGCAAAAGAGUCAGGAGUCAUUUCCCAGCUGAGGGGAUGGGUUGAUGCUCUUCCAUUUUCUCUUAACCCUGUGCAAAUGGUGCUGGGCCAUAAGAGGACAUCUGGGAUUCAACUCCCACUGUGUAUGGCUAAGAAUCAGAACAAAGUAUGAUGUCCACAGAGGACCUUGAGCUCACAGGCUCCAUUCCAGAGAGUAAUACAGGGAUAGUAAACCACUGGAAGCAAAGACUCCCUGUGGAAUAGCUGCAGUCAUCCCCCAUGCUGGCCCAGCCACCUGAGAAGAGACAGUCUUGUUAGGUUGACUUAACUAUUGGUCACCUGAAUUUAAUUUGGCUUACUGAAUUAUGGAUGAAGGAGACAAUAAUCCCCAAGAGUUGGCCAAUCUUUGUCAUCAGGGGUUUUCUUAUGUUGGUGAGAGUGUUCUAGUACCUUAAUAGGCAGCUUGAGUUUGAUGCAUGAGUCAUAAUGAAUCAGAUGUACCAGAGUUGUUGUUUUGAUUCAGCUCAGCAGUUAUGUCUUUGAAUCUGAGUCUCAGAUGGGCACCUGAAUAGACUCAUCACAAAGCUUCAUUGCAAAUUAUACAGUGCAGGGAAGCUCAACAAAUUAUUCUGAUUGUUUCCAGAAAGAAAAAGGAAGGCAGGAUUAUACAGCAUUUAGUGUCACCAAUUAACAAGGUCAUGGGGCUGAACCACUCAUUCCAAAAACUUAAUAUCUACAAACUCAAGCACAAGGAGCCUCUUUUAAUUAUUUGGAAACUGUGGGCUGCAGGGAAAGCGAGUGCUCUCAGCCUUGUGAUCUGAGCAAGGUUCAGGAGCUGGAGUGGGUUUGGCUGAGUCACCACUGGCUGCAUGACCCCACACACAUCACCUGACCUCCACAUGCUUCAGCUGGCCCGGCUGUAGAGAUGAGAAAAUGCAGCCGGAAGGCCCCAAGGGGCAAAAACAGCCUUCUGCACACAGCUGCCCUGGGGCAGCUUCCUGCGGCACAGUUUAGCUCUAUCAGAGGCAGGGGGACCCUAGUCUGGGCCACCAAAGCAGCCUUACCUAAAAGCCACCUUUGGGAAAGGGCCUGUUUCAUGCCGCAAGUGUAGGAGUAUAAGUAAGUAAAACCUUUUUUAAGCCUUGAAAAUACUCAUAUGUUUUGGUUGCAUGAUUUCAUUUGAAUGAAUUUAUUCUUAGUCAGGAAUCAGAGGCGUACACAAAUAUGUAUGUUCAAUCAUGCUCAUCAUAGUGUUAACUUUAGUAACGAAAAACUGAAAAUUAUCUAAAUGUUCAACUGUAAAGCAUUGUACAACAAACUAUGGUACAUUUUUAUUUUGGAAGGUUGUAUGGCCAUUAAAAAAUCACUAGAACAGAAUAAUCAAUGACCUGGGAAAAUGUCCACCGUAGGAUAGUAUAUAGAGAAGGACCGUAAAACAACAUUGUUAGAAUAAUCCAAUUUGUUUUACACUAUAUGUACUCCCAGGUGGAUAGACAAAAGCCUGGAAGGUGAGACAAGAAAUUAUUAAUGAUGUUUAAUCUCUGCGUUUGGGGAUUAUCAGCUCUUUUUAAAAUUUAUGGUGCUUGCCUGUAUGUUCCAAUAUUUUCUAUCACAAUGGUCAUGUGUUCUUUUUGCCAUAAAAAUCAAUUUUGAAAUUCCCCGAGUUGCUGUUAACUUGGCCUGUCUGUUGCAUAUGGGGCCAAACUACACGCCUACCUGUGGAGCAAAUGAAUACAGUGACUCAUCUGUGAGCUGAGGCUUGAGCAAUUCCAGCCCAGGAGGCUCUCCGGCCUGGGAACAGAGUGGGAUUUUUUGUCUGAGGAGGCUGAGUCUGGAAGAAGGAUGACUCUGUGGGUGGUUUCCUAGAUCCUCAAUGCACGUGGCUUCCGGCCUUGACUCCUCCCUUAAAUUCUGGGUUGCUGGCCAAGGCUGAAGAACAAAUUUGCCUCAGCAGCCAACUCCUCUAUGUAAGCCUGACAUUUACUCUGUAUCUACAUAAUAUCUAUUAAGCAACACCUGAUCCUGUUCACCAGGAUGUAUGUUCC
rnacentral:lncRNA from 10 species